rnacentral:rRNA from 1 species
AUUGAACGCUGGCGGCAGGCCUAACACAUGCAAGUCGAACGAGUGGCGGACGGGUGAGUAAUGUCUGGGAAACUGCCUGAUGGAGGGGGAUAACUACUGGAAACGGUAGCUAAUACCGCAUACCAUCGGAUUUGCCCAGAUGGGAUUAGCUAAGAGGGGGGGUAAAGGCUCACCUAGGCGACGAUCCCUAGCGGGGCUGAGGGGAUGACCAGCCACACUGGAACUGAGACACGGUCCAGACUCCUACGGGAGGCAGCGGUGGGGAAUAUUGCACAAUGGGCGCAAGCCUGAUGCAGCCAUGCCGCGUGUAUGAAGAAGGCCUUCGGGUUGUAAAGUACUAUCAGCGGGGAGGCGUUACCCGCAGAAGAAGCACCGGCUAACUCCGUGCCAGCAGCCGCGGUAAUUC